rnacentral:rRNA from 1 species
UACAGGGGGGGCAAGCGUUGUUCGGAAUUACUGGGCGUAAAGGGCCAGUAGGCGGCCAACUAAGUCCGACGUGAAAUCCCAAAGCUUAACUUUGGAACUGCGUCGGAUACUGGAUGGCUUGAAUUCGGGAGAGGGAUGCAGAAUUCCAGGUGUAGCGGUGAAAUGCGUAGAUAUCUGGAGGAAUACCGAAAGCGAAGGCAGUCUCCUGGCAAGUUUCUGACGCUCAGGUGCGAAAGCUAGGGGAGCGAACAGG